UCUGACGACCUUCCCGCGAACUGGGCUUUUUUUUCUUUUUUUCUUUCUCUUUUUUUUCUCCCUCUUCUUCUUUUUCUUCUUCUUGUUGCAGGUUUUGGGGGGAUGAACUGGGGUUUUUUUUUUUCUUUUCCUCCCUCCUCUUCUUCUUCUUGUUGUUGUUGCAGGUUUUUAGGUUCUAGGUUAGGGAUAGGGAUGUGGGUCGAUUAGGGGGUGGGUGAGAGAUAGUGGGUAGGGAUUGCAGAGAGGAGAGGGGGAAGAAAGGGGAUUUGGGUUAGGGUUUUUAUGUUUUAUUUUUAUUUUUUAUAAUUGGAUUAAUAUUAUAAUAUUUUUAAUGUAUAAAAAAAAAUUCUACGUGGUAGCCACAUUAGCACAAAUGUGGUAGCCACGUCAGCAUUUAACAGACUAAUGGAUGGAAAAUCUAACGGAUGUGUUAUUUUGAAAUAAAAUGGUACUAGAUGUAUGAAAAUGAAAUGUUUUAAAGUUAUUGUAUGGGGUUAAAAUUUACCCUCAAACCUGAGGGGCUACUAUGUAAUUUACCCAAAAAAAAAAGAUUUCAUCAAAGCUUAGAAGUUGUCGUUAUGACCAAAAUGUUCUGUCAUUUACUUGAGUUACACUUCAAUAAUCAUGAUGUUCAUAAUUGUGACAUUGUUGGCUGUUGUUGAUUUUUCAUGAUGGCUCAAAAGUGAAUAGAAUGAUGUGCUAAAAAAAAAAAAAAAAAAAAAUGGAAUGAUUGGGUGUAUUGGAAUGACACAUGUAAGUAAGUUGAAAGAAUAACUUCUCAUCAAAAUGUCAAUUAGGUCAUGCAAUAUGCAUGUUCAACUUUUCCACCUUUGAAAUAUGAGAGUUUUAACAAAAUACUUUUGGUAUUGUUCACUUUUAACGAAAAAUCAUAUUUAUACAUUUUCCUAGUACUAUUCAUUAUAUCUUUAAAAAUGGCUUUUCAUUCAAAGGAAAGUUUUUUUUGGACUUUUCAUUAGUAUUCCUUUGAAAUAUAUGUGUACGGUGUGUCACCACUCAUGUCACAUCCCCGCUCGAGCCCCAAUCAUAUUCGGCUUUUCAUUAAAAGGAAAGUUUUUUUUGAAUUUUUCGUUAGUUUUCCUUUGAAAUAUAUGUGUACGGUGUGUCACCACUCAUGUCACAUCCCGGCCCGGGCCCCAAUCAUAUUCCGAGCUCGACUCCAUUGUAACACGAUAUUGUCCGCUUUGGGCCAUGACCAUGCCUUCACGAUUUUGUUUCCGAUAACUCACACGAGAACUUCCCAGUGGGUCACCCAUCCUGAGAAUGCUUUGGAGUUCCGAUGGAACCCGAAGUCAGUGAGCUCCCAAAAUGCAUCGUGCUAGGUAGAGAUGAGAAUAUACAUAUAAGGCUUACAGGAUCCACUCCCUUGGACGAUGUGGGAUGUCACAACUCACUACACCAAAUUAUCAAGUGCAAAUUGCAAUCUCACUCACUUGCACACACCACAAAAAUGCAGCUACGUUUUGUACUAAUAAUAUAAUGACGUCUGUAAAUUUUAUCUGCAUAUGAUAUUAAAACUAUGAACAUAAAAUGCUAAAAUCAACAUAUAUCUAUACUAUACAAGUCGCUUUCAUCGUACAAUCAAAGCCAAAGUAAAUUGGUGGAAGCACGUGAUUACUUCGAUUAUGUGUUUGUGGAGGUUGAUGGUGCUUUAUUGGAGACAUACAAAGGAACCUUUUGUUGAUCAGCCAAUUGGCUCAUAUCAAGUGCAACGGACUAAGCCCACAUCUACAAUCAUAAGUCAUAUCAUCCUUUUACUUUUGACGUACCCAAAGGUUUCUUUUCGAUUAAAAGCUUAAUUAGUGGAUUUUUUCUUAAUGCGAUUUCAGGAUUACAUUCGUUAAAACUUCGUUUCGUUAUCAAAAAUAAUUUAAGUGACGUUUUGGACUAAAAAGAUACCUUUACAUGUUUUGUUUUUUUUUGUUUUUUUUUUUGUAAAAAGGUAAUAACAUAUUACUAACAACACAUAUUUACAAGAGAGAGGCCCACAUACAAUAAAAACACAACAACAAAAUUACAGACCUCCAAAGUACAACGAAACCAAGCCCAACAGAAAAACAGAAAAAACCCCAACAGCUUGCAUCCUCUGACGCUACUGCCAUCGGAAGGACCACCAAACUCAAACCACCCUGAAAUCAAGCCAAUGCAAGCCCCCCAAAGUGGAUAAGAAGAAGGCUUCAACAACCUCCAAAGAGCACAGCCAAGAUCGGCACCACAAAUCAAAUGAAGCUCACAGGAAACAACCCACGAGCAACAGAGGCAACAAGGCAAAAUAAAGGCAAGAAGGUGGUGAGAACACCGGAGCAUCGAUGAAAUCCGAAGCUCUACACCUCUUCCUCCUAAAGGGGAAUCGCAAAGAUUCACAUUCACGAUGUUGAUUAGUGGAACUCAAUGUAAAGUGUCAGAUCAAUGGAGGAGUGAGUCAAUUGGAAGGGGUAGGGUGUGGAGUGUUGGAAAUUAAGGUGGUGGAGGGAAAAGUAAAUAAAAAAGGGGAGUUGGUGAAGUGAAAUCAGAGGCACCAGAGAGAUGAGGAUAUGGUCGAACCAACAAAAAGGUAGAGGAAAAAAACAAGUAGGAACAAAAGGAAAGAAAAGGAAAACAAGAGGAGCAAAGCUAGUCAUAGCUAGAAUCGGUGGUAGCGAGGAGAAGAAUGGAAGCUAGAUAUACACUCAUACACAAAUGGUGAGAAAGCUCUCAAUAAGAGAGAAGUUUUUUCGGUUGUGAAUUAAGUUUCUACCUUUACAUUCAUCUGUCAUUCCAUCUGACAUAUUGCACCUCUCGUGGUUUAAUUAUGUCAAGGAGAGUUACUAAUUAUGUAAAACUGUAACUUGCAUCCUAAGAAAAAAAAAAUCUGAAAAAAAAAAAAACAAUAAAUGGCAAUAACUCUAGAGAAAUAAUUAAACAAAUAAUUAAACAAAUAAAGAAACUCCAAUUGAAGAAUUAAUUAAAAGAUUAACAGAAUCAUCAUCGCAAUUAAUCGCGGCGGUAACGAGAAGUUAAUUUUUCCGUCUUGAACGAAGCCCGCUUUCACGGCGUCGUGAGAAUCUAACAGCAGUAGUAUAAAGUGUUUAUUUAAAAAACAAAAUCAAUUAAAAACCUAACGGUCGCAUUUUUGUUAAAACCUAUCCACCCCCGUUCCCCACCAACUUUGCUCAACUCUCCCACCGACACAAACUCAACUUUCCAUUUCCCCACGGCCUCCCUCCAAAUAUCCCCACCAAAAUUGCACUUUAAUGCCACAUUCACUUUCAGUGUAUAUAUUUUUCUGGGUUUUCAGAAAGCCCAAUUUUUCUUUUCGUUUAAUUCAAAUUUUGUUUUUUUUUUGGGGGGAUUUGAUGAUUUUGCGAGAUAUGCAAGCCAAGUCACUGCAAUGGGCGCCGUCGCCGGGACUCCGGGUCGGGGUCGAAACGUCUUCUUUGUCGCAGCUGGCGGUCCUGAACUUGCCCCGUGGUGCUUCUGUGAAUGGCUUGAAAGCCAGGAGUUUGUUUGUAGUAAAGGCCAUGGAGGUGGAGGGUUCCAGAACGGCGAGUCUGAAAGGCCACGCUGGGAGUUCAGGCACUUAGUUGUUAAUUAUUUGGGAAUCUUUAAGCUUUUUCUGAAUUGGAUUUUGUUUUCCAUGUAGAAUUUACCCACUUAUGAUUUUUCAUCUUUAAUUUUUGGGAUCUUUAAGCCUUUUCUGAACUUACCCACUCUGAAUUUUCAUGUAGAAUUUGGAAUCUUUAUGCUUUUUCUGGAUUGAUUUUUGUUUUAAUUUUUUUGUUAAAUAGAUAAAAAUGGGAGCUUGUUGUCUUCGGUUGGCAAUUCAACCAAUAUUAAAUGGCAUGAGUGUUCAUUGAACAAAACUGACAGGCAAAAGUUGCUUAAACAAAAGGGGUGUGUCAUUUGGAUCACCGGUCUCAGCGGUUCAGGUUAGUUUUUCCUUAAUUCAAAUUUUAUAUUACAUUCACACACACACACACACAUAUAUAUAUAUGUAUUAUGUUCUUUAUGAUAGAAAUAUGGCAUAUUAUAUCUGGUUAGACUGUGAAUCAGAACCGCAUUCAUAUAUGAUUUUGUUUAAUUGCAAUUCGGAUUGAUAGUCUAACAACAUCCACAACCCGUUAGACUGUGCCGAGAGAAAGUUGUUCAUCACUUGCGUAUAAUUGAUUUUGUUUGUUCAGGGAAGAGCACGGUGGCUUGUGCAUUGGGUGGGAGUUUGUAUCACAGGGGAAAACUAUCGUACAUUCUUGAUGGGGACAAUGUCAGGCAUGGCCUGAAUUGCGACCUUAGUUUUAAAGCAGAAGAUCGUGCAGAGAACAUUCGGAGGAUUGGUAUGCAUGUCUAUGCCUCUUUUUAAUUGACUAAUUCCUCUUUUUAGAUUAACUACCGCUUUCGUUUUCAUUAUGUAUUCAUGUAGCAUUGCCUUUGCUCUUGUAUUCAGGGGAGGUGGCAAAAUUGUUUGCUGAUGCUGGAGUUAUUUGUAUUGCUAGCGUGGUUUCUCCUUAUAGAAGGGAUCGUGAUGCCUGCCGUGCAAUGCUACCUGCUGGAGACUUCAUUGAGGUUUGUAAUUCACUGCUAUUUAAUCUCUAUCACUGUUUUUCAAGUUCAACUAAGCUUUGGGCAUAUGCUUGGAAUAUUUGCUGAAGAAAUUAUCAGUAAAGCAAACUUGUUUUGUGAAAGGUGUUCAUGGACGUUCCACUCCAAGUUUGUGAGGCUAGAGACCCGAAAGGCCUAUAUAAGCUUGCACGUGCAGGGAAGAUCGAAGGUAUAUGCAAACUAGUAUCUCGGGUUUUGGUUACUAAAUUGAGUUUGUCUUUAAAAUUUAACAGCCUGCUUAAGGUGCCACUGUCCUACUAAAAUCUUUACGUUGAUAUUUUUUUAUUUUUUUACGAUGAGAUACAAGAAACGUUGUGAAUCUUAUUAUGGUUAAUUAAACUUCUGUUUAAACAAUCAUUUGGAAGAUUCUUAAUUUUUUCUGGUACUACUGUACGCAAACCUCUAGGUGUGGGUGUGUAUCUGUGAAUCUUCCCUUGUGCAUUGACAUGGAUAUUUUUUGAAGUUGGUAACUUUCGCCAUCUCAUAUAUGGAUCCUUAAGUGCGACUCUGAUUACUAAUUGAAUCCUGGACAAUUGGUAUGUUGAAUUUAUUUGAAAUAUGUGUACCAAUCCCACUCUCCAUAGUGCACCGAAUCUUUUCAUUUUGUAUUUUACAAGGAGUUAUGAUUAAAUGGCCAUAUUAUUUAUCACUUUGUCAGUUUCCUAGUCCGAAAUGCUGGUCAUUACUUACACUGUAUCAAUCCGGCAUUGCAGGUUUUACUGGGAUUGAUGAUCCAUAUGAGCAACCGUUAGAUUGUGAGGUAUGUACACUAUCUAGAGAAAAGCAGAAUACACCUUUUAAGCUAAAAUUGAACAGGUGUGGCUACAUACAGACUACAGAUAUCAUAUAUAUACACACAUGUUUCUCUUGCUAAAAAGAAAUACACAUUACGUAAUGAGAGCUGUGGAAAAUAGCAACUUAAAAAUAAAAAAUUUAAACUUAAAACGCAAUCCAGAAGAAAAUAUUUUCUAUAGAAAAAGGCUGUUGUUAAAAAAGUCUGUAAUUAACCAAGAGCUUAAUCUAUGCUUUUUGGAAGUUAAAUUUGAGAUACAUUAGUCGCUUUCCACAUAGGCACCAUUUCAAUUCCAUUCUUUAAUUUAGCCUGUAGGGAUAUGGCGCAGAAUGAAACGAAUGAUGAUCUGAUGUAUACUUGCUGGACACGAUGUAACUACAGCUGCACAUAAACUCAACUCACCUAUUGUUACGUUUUCCUUUUCGGUCUAUAGUGUGCUCGAUGUUAUUGUUUUAUUUGGAAUAUGAAAGGAGAAUUUCUCAUUUGCUGUUUUUUCAUCCUUUAUCUGGCUUCAGAUAGUAUUAUCACAUAAAGGAGGAGCAUGUCCUUCCCCAUGUGAGAUGGCCGAAGAAGUAGUUUCUUACUUGGAAGAUCAGGGGUUCCUCCAGGCAUAAGAAGUCCGUGGAACCCUUCCUUGAACUGUCAAAACUUUGAGCUGUACCGUAAAUGCAGUGCAGAUAGCUUCUAGCGCUCCAUGUGGAUGGUAUGCGUCUGGCCUUACCAGAUCAGCGAAAACAGAUGCAGAAAUCACCUGCUCUGGUAAAACGCAUUAGUUAAUUGCUUGAUUAACUUAUGCGACAUCUUUGCUAUGUUUGGUGUUAUUUUGAGUUGCGCUCUCCUCAUUGUAAAUGAUAGUGUGUAGAGUUUCUCGGUCAGAUUCUUUCAUCCCGUGUUCGAUGUGUUUGUAUCAGCUCUAGAAAUUUAAGAAUCAUAAACCCUAGUACUCGUAAAUAAUCUCGUGCCUUUUGUACAUGCAUCGGUGCACGCAUUUGAAUAUAAUUGUAUUGAUAAACUGCUGUUAUACUAUGUGUACUAGAUCUUAUAUAAUAUCUGACCAAAUACUUGGGGGAAAAGAAGGCCAAAAGAGCUUUCUAUAGACAAUGUAAGAUGAUAAAGAAUUUACUCUCUAGUUUCAAGACCAAAAAGAAAAGAGAGAGAAAAACCAAAAAGAGGUUUUCGUUACAGGCCUUUGCCUUUGGCAUGCUAUUAUUAGUGAUUUAGAUAAUUUUAGUAAAAAGAAACAAAGACUAAGGUAAUUUAGAAUACUUCAUUUUUCUUGUUUGUAACAUUUCUGGUGAUUUAUCGUCAAUGCAAUGCCAAUCAAAUCUAAAACCUGUUGGACUUUAGAUGUAACACAAAGCUAACAAGUUAUUGGAUGACUGACCGGCGGUAAAGCCUCUUAAGUAAUUAUAUUUAAUCUUUUAAAGUACAUGAUCUGGACCGUGCUCUAAUUGAGAAUAACAAAAGAGGGAAAAUGCUCAUAAAAGAACUUGGGGGAAGAUGGAGAACCCUCUAAGAACCAACUCAUCUCAUCACCUAACCUCCCCCAACCAUAAUAAGGCCAUAGCCCACACCAAGUCGUAAGACUGGUUUUAUUGGUUGAAAUUCAUUUAAAAUACAUGAAGGGGGAUCCGAACUUUGAGUGUGAAUGGAGGAACAUACUGCUCUACCAAUUUGACUUAAAAUGUACUUUCAAAUAACUUAUUUGAUUGAAGCCAUUUCCUUAUGCUAAAAGAAAAUUGUAUACGAUAUUACUCAAAAUCACUAUAAACAAAUUAUAAUUAACGGAAUCACUUUAAAAUUCAUUUAAAAUACAUGAAGGGGGAUCCGAACUUUGAGUGUGAAGAAAUGAACACACUGCUCUAACCAAUUUGACUUAAAAGAUACUUUCAAAUAACUCAUUUGAUUUAAGCCAUUUCCUUAUGCUAGAAGAAAAAUUGUACACGCCAUUACUCAAAAUCACUAUAAGCAAAUUACGAUUAACAGAAUCACUUUAAAAUUUUGGUAUACUUUGGCGAGAGUUAUUUCCGCACUUUCAUUCUCACCUCACAAAAACAGAGGUAUUUUAGAAUACCUCAUUUUGAUUUCAGUACUCUCUCUUCUUCUCUCUCUCUUCUGCCAGUCUCGAACCCAGGACCAGCUGGUUUGUGAGUGUAGCACAAUAUCCAGCUGCUACGCGUGAGACCAGCGUUUGUCCGUCUUAAGUAAUUCUAUUUAUACGGCUGAGAGAUGAUAUUUCUCUUUCAAGUUUUCUUCCUUUUUUUCUACGAGUGCUGAAUGUUCAAUAUAAAAUGUUGCCCUUGGAUUAUGAAAAUUAAAUGUAUCACUCAUUAAUUAAUUAUUUUGUUUUUUUACAAGAUCAUGUAUUCUAAUCAUUCUAGGUAGGGUUGGGCACGGUCAGGUUCCACCAUCAAAUUGGAACCUAUAUUGAAAAAUAUCAACGAUUCAUUUUUGUACAGUUCCACUUAAAUUUAUUAGAUCAUGAUGGUUUACGGUUCCAACCAAAAUUGUAUAUAUUUUUUUCACUUUUUCGAAUCCUCUAUUUUCUAAAGAAUAAUAAAAAAAAGAACUCAGGAUUUAUGGUGAUGAGACUUGUUUUAAAUCAACUAUUGGGCGAGAUUGAUUCAGUUGUUCAUGAUGGUUGAAUCGUCUUCAUCAAUGAUGUAUGCCAAACCUUUUUCAAAAUCAAACACAAAUAAAACACCAUUUCAUAUUGGAGAAAAAAAAAAAAAAACGUUUGUAUUUACUUCACUGGUUUGAGUAUGCCAAAAAAACCACAUGAUGGAUUCAUAUUUGUAAACUAGUCUAGUACUACCCAAUUAAUGCAACAUGUAAAGCAACUCAAUUUUUCUAAUUUGAAACAAUAGAAAGCAAAGAACGUUGAUCGAACCUUUCACAAGAGUGACCAACUCUGAACUAGCUCCCAAUAUCAACACCAAAAGCAGCUUUACCAAGACUAGAACCAUAUCAACAAGCUGAAAUUUACCAAGACUAGAACACCAUCAGGCUGGAAAGAUGGUUUGUUUAUAUAAAAAAUAAAAAAUAAAACAAUAAAACAAUAAAAUUUAUAUUAAAAGUGAUUCGGUUCAGUUCCUUUGGUUCUUAUUAUUUCCAACCCGAAACCAGAACCGGUUUGAGAUGGUCCGGUUCGUCUUUUGUCCCAGUUUUGACUUUUUUGGUCAAUGCGGUUUUUUUAUGGUAUUUUCUUACUACUAUUCGACUCAGUUUUCCAGUUCAACUAUUUUUAUGCCCACCUCUAAUUCUAGGUUACGAAAAGGGUGAUACAAAUUGAAUAGAAGGGGGUGAACACACUACUGUGAUCAAUACCAUUGUUCGAGUAGGAAAUCUCACGAGGAGGGGUCCUUGGCUCGAGCACAAAGCUCCUCGAGGAAUUGACAUUUUGUUGAUUGUCGGGCUCCGGCUUGCUGAGAUGCUACAAAAGGAGGACAAAGUUAGUUCUGAAAGGUGCUUUUGUGGGGCCUUAGGGGUAGGCCUUAAGACUCGUAAUCAAAACUAACUAAGUGCUAAGGCAUGCCACUGCUAUCUCUGUAUGGCAGAUGUAGAACAAGUGUAUUUAAGCCGAUUACUUGUGCCUCAAGUUAUUUUGACUUCUUGUUAUCAAAGGAUUGUCGUAGAUGGGUUAAGUCUACAUUAAGUUCUUUUCUAUGCCUUGAGAUUAAGGACUUUUGGUUCUUUAUCUUGUAUGCUUAAAGGGUGAAGAUCAAGAUUUGAUCAAGUCAUCAGUUUUAAUCAGUUUUAAUCUUCUUAUGACCAUAGAAACACUAAGUGAACCAGAUCUAAGAAUUGAUGGAACUUUGGAUCAUUAAAAGACUGGAAAUGACUUGAAUAUGUACUGGGGAAUACAUUAUAACAAUAGAUUUAUUAAUUGAAAGACAAAACAAAGAGAGGCGGGCAAGAUUUCAGCUUGUCGGGCAAGGUUGAACGUCUUGCAAUCUUUUUGUUGUAGUUCUAAAGGGUUAGGUACUGAAAGAGGAAUGACAGGUAAACGGGUUUACAUAAGAGAAUCGAUACUACAACAUUUGAAGAAUGUAGCAGAGCUUUUACAUAGACAAAAGAUGUCUUUCUAAAGGAAGUCUAAAGCUAAAAGGGUGCAGAAUCUGGACAAAGCACAACUUUCUGGAUAUUUGCUUGACUGAGAGGCAAGUUGUAUGUUUGUUUGUUUGUUUGAUUGGUUGAGUGUCCUUGUCUCUAGGCCAUCUUCUCUUAUUUAUAGGCGAAUUAGCCCGACUGUGCUGUUUCUACUCUUACUCGAAAGCAACUAGAGGGUAGUGGGUCAUUAGCAAUUUUACAUGUUUUGCCACUCGGAAAAAUGCUUUUGGGCCGAGAGUUGGUUGAUUUCCAUCGGUUAUCACUUCUCUUAUAAGCACCUAACCUUUGCAUUUAAUGGGGAGCCGUCUUGUCUUGAGAUAGGUAUCUGGGCUUGACUCUGGGCCUCGAGCAAAAUCUCCUCUAUUGAGCUUUCUUGGGCUUCCUUCCCUUUAAGCCCAAGUUAAAUAUUAACCCAAACAACCAUGCUGUAAAAAGAAAUAAUGAAUUCAUUUGAUUUGACAUUGAUGAUUUCCUAGAUAUGAGUUUUGGCCAUAUAUUUUGAGACGUAAAAACAUUAAUAAUCUAUGAAAGAUUUUUCGUGAUAGAAAAAGAACUCUUACUAAAAACCUCACAGGUUCGGCUUCUCGAUCAAUUCAUUUCAUAUAUGUUUCAACAUUCUUAGACAUUUGGGAUUCAACAACUAAGCUAUAUUUUCCAUAUACUUAUCUAUUCAUAUUCAAGUGCCAAUCAAACCCAAAAACUGCUUGAUUGUGCCUACAAAGUUAAAAUGAGUUCGUCGUUAAAACUUGUCAGGAUAUAAUAUUUCUUAGUUUUUUUUGCCGAGGGGGAGAUUUUAAUAAACACCAAACACACACUUACAAACAAACAAAUGCCCAACUUACACCUAUAAACAAACAAAAAAAGGGCCUAAAAACCAAGAAAAAACAGAAACAAAAAGUGAGCCCAAAAGCCCAAAAACAACAUAAGUUCCAAAAAGCAUUCACUACUUUCUCCAUUGCCUAUCUGAGGAGCAUCCAGCCAUCUGAUUCUCCGAUCACCACCGAUCAUCUCCUCCUCAGACACCUCAUGCGCACAACCAUAAGCAAGAGAUAGUUGGCACCCAAGUGAAAGAUGCAAACCACCUGUGUGAAGCUCAGGGAAAUCCUCGAGCGACAUUGCCAGAAACAGCAGACACUAAGGAGAACGUGGUGGUGUUGGAAACACCUGAGUAGGUGAAAGCGCCGGAACUCUACACACGAACUCGAUAGAGAACAUGGCUGAAGAUUGGAGAAAGGAAGAGCUAGGAAGAGGAAUACCCACAGGGUUGAGGAAUUGGACAAGCGAGAUUGAAAAAUUGGGAGAACCAGCAGUAGAUGCAAGGAGAAAAGAAGGAAAAGAGGGAAAAGAGGACACAACAACCGACCCCAACUGAAGCUAAGGCCGAUGCCACCGAAGAUGCUUAGAUCUGAAAGUCUCAUAGAAGCAGUAGUGAGAAGGACUCUCACUUCGGAGAGAGGAUUUUUUUCUUCUUAACGAUGAUUGAUCAUUGCUUUGUCGCAAGAAGGGUUAUGGAAAAGGGAAGAGGUCAUAUUUUGUAGUUUUGCACAUGAUUUAGGGCCAUGCACAACCCCUCUUUAGCUCUAGUUAUAUUGGUUGCCUACUAAUCUCACUAACUGUUAAAUCUCAAACUCCAUCUAGCAUACCUAGCUUUUUCAGGCCCUUACUUUUGGCAUGUUCAUAUUACUGUUAUAAUACCAUCUCAUUUUACUUAAUUGCCUUAUGUUGGAGAUGCUGUUGAAGUUGCGCUCCCAGUCUUGAACCUAGGCCAUUGGAUUGUGAAAACCAACACAUUACACGAGACUGGUAUUACGAGGGUGCUAGUCUAGGUUGCACGGACACUCCGACAUGCCUCGCACACAUCCCAGACACGGCUUGGACACGGCUAAUAUAUGGCUUAGACACGCUCAAGACACAGCAAGGGCCUUUUUGUAAAUUAAAAAAACGUAUCUGAGAAAUUAUUGGAAAUUCAAUAUAUACUAAAACCCAUCUUUCCUUGAAACACUGUUCAUAAGCACAGUGUUGUUCCGGUUUUACCUUCUCUUAGUUUCUGUUAUUUCAAGUCUGCCACUGCUUAUAUAUACCAAAUAUUUGUUUCUCUGUUUCUUCCUCCUGUGUUCUCUCUUCCCUUCCGCGAGCAAUUCACCAUUCCUCCCAACCUCGACUACUGUAAAACGACCACUACACUCAUUCGAACCACUACCAACCCAUCCCUCUCACUCUUUUUAGUCAAGCUGUCGCCAAUUUUGUCGUUGUUUUUGUGUAACCAAUAGUUAGAGUUUCAGACAUAUGUUCCAGCGACCUAAUUCCUGCCGAUCGCCCACGACUCGGGCCUUUCCGUUACCUGGAAACAACUUCUCUCACUUUCAGGAGAUACAUGAAGGUAUUGCAUGUUCAAUACUAGUUCAUUUUAAGAUGAAUUGAAGGAAACUGUAUAAUCUGCAUAUGAAUGCUCUUAGGCAUCCUUAUGUUCGUGUUCAUACCAACAAUAGUAUUAGGAAUCGCAUGCUUAUGAUUUCAAAUUUAUGAAAUUAAUUUACUCAUGUCUUUAUCAGAUCGAUUUACCUUUUUUUUUUUUAGAAUUCUUUGUUUAAAUUUGCAGGGUUUAGGACAAUUUUUCUUUUAAAGUUAUGGGUGAUAUGAUUUUUUUUUAUUUGAAUUAUUCAUUUAAUUUCUGAGAUCUUUUAUCAAAUCUCCAAAUUGACUCAUAAUUAUUAGGCUUGAAACAGAUGCUGUAAAUCAGUUUUGGUGGAGGAGUUGUUCAGCAGCCUAAGGAAGAACAGAGGAAUGUUUUUGAAAUAAGGUUUGAUCGAAACUUUUCUAUAAAAUGUCACAAUUUUGGAGUUUUAAGCCAUUCAAAUUGGUUUGUUAAGUAGGUUACCUAUUGAGUUUUAAUCCAUUCAAAUUCACAUUUGCUUACAUUAAUCUAUUAAGUAGGUUACUUAUUGAUUUUUUUUUUUGGGAUUUUAUGUACAGAGUUCUGUGUUGACACCAGCAAUGCAAGGGCGAGUUCUGUGUCGAAUCACAUUCAUUAGUUAGAUUAUUAAUGUGCUUCGAUAGGGGUUUUCAAUAUGAUUUUGUAAUUUCAAUUAAUAAAUCACAAGAAAUGGAGCAAUUGGAAACAUGGUUGCAAGUCAUAAGCCAGAGUCUUUGUUUUAAAUAACUAUACUACUUUUGUAUUGUAUGCAUUCGUAAGAAAAAUCCAAAUCGUAAUUGAGGUAGCCAUCAUAAAUGACACCACCCAGCUUUUCAAUUCUUAAUCUUUCAGAGGUGCAGUUAGGUUUGUGAUCUUUAUAUAGGUGGUUGUGGAAUCCGGUUCUUUUGAACCAGUUUAAUGGGUUUUAGUGAUUGCAUGUGGAGUGGGUUUAUGAAUUUAUUUAGCCUAUCUCAAAAGGUCAAGAUUAAAAUUUCCUUCAUUUUCUAAGUAACCAAACAGAAAAUUAGCUCUCUCUCCUUUGUUUGGUUUAACUUUACCAAAUGAUACUUUAAAAGUUUCUUAAGUUACUUCAACUAUUAAGUGUGAAAUAAUUGAAUACUUGAAAAUUGGGUUUCGUUUGAUUGUUUGAGCUAAUUGAGCUAAUCUUUUGCUCUGUAGCAACAAGGAGAAAUGAGUCGGCCGGAGGACUCUGAAAGAUGAUUGUUGUUGUUGCUGCUAUAGAUAUGCCGGCGGAUCCUUUGGAGGGAGAGUUAGGCUUGGGUUGAGAAGUGGGAUAAUCCUCUGCGAUGCUAUCAAUAAAGUUCAAACUGGAGCUGUGCCCAGGGUGACCCUGAUCCUUUGAUCAUUUUCCAAAUUCUCACAUUUGUGGUUAUUAUUGAAUGGUAUGCAUAUGGAAGAAAUAUGGGAACCGUUGAAAUGUUGAAUAAUUUGAUUUUGUGUAUUUUUUCAAGGAAUGGGAGAACCUUUGAAUAAGUAUGGUUCCUUAAUUGAAGCAAUUCAUGUUAUGACUGGAUCACUAUUUCUUAUAAAAACUGUUCUGUCAAAUUAUAGGUACAUAACUAUGUUCCAACCACCUACGGCAUCUCAAUGUGGUAGUGGAGCUAUUAUAUCAAUGCCACGGAAAUCCUUGACAGUCAAAGAGUAUACAACCAAGGAAAUGCUCUAAUACGCUGUAUAUUUUGAUUCUAUAAUCAAAAUUUUGUAGUUUUUAGAUUUUGUGGAUCUUAGUAAAUUAGGUAGUAUGAACUAUGAGUACUCUUUUGCUUCUUUCAUUGAAUGUAGUUCGCAAUUGCUAAAAACAUUUGGAGUGACUGAUUCUGCAGUCAACAAAAAAUCUUCAUUGAAUACAUAAUGUUUGAUGGAGUGACUGAUGAAGAGCAACAUGCACACCUAAAAGAGCCCUGACCUCAACCUAAUUUGUUGCUUAACUUUAUUUCGGGAAAUGAGUAGUACUUUGUUAUAUGAUGAAUUCAAAAUAUUGUUUUUAAUAUAUGUAAUUUAUUAUAUUUUAAUCGCUAUGUCCUAGCCUUCUUCGUGUCCUUGUUUUUUAAGAUUUACUAUGUCGCCGUACGUAUCGUCGUGUCGCGUGUUGCCGUAUUCGUGUCCGUGCAAGGUGCUAGUAAUUAUGUAUAUAUCCUAGUUGAAGGGGCUUCCUUAAACAAUUUCAAACCUUAAACAAUUUCAAACCUUAAACAAUUUCAAACCCUACUUUCUUUUACUAAUUAAAAACAUACCAAAAAGAGAGCUCCAGGUCUUCAACAAAAAAGAGAGUAGAUGCAAAAGAAGUGGUAAAAAAACAGAGGUAUUUUAGAAUACCUCAUUUGCUUUUAAGGCCUCUACAGAGGUGUAGAGAAAUGGGAGGAAUUGGAGUGGAUUGGCCGCCAGUCUCGAACCCAGGACAAACUGGAUUUUGAAUUAGCACAAAACCAACAUGCUUCAAGAGACUGGCGUUAAGGUGGCCAAAGUAAUUAAUAUUGUACGCAAGCCAAGUUCAGCACUCCAACACUCAAAGUACCUAACCGAUAAAGGCAGUCUUCUCACGCCUCGCUUUCAAGAUAUGACUAAAAAGGACUCAAUAAUUUAGCAACAUAGCAUCCCUUCGUUUAUUUUAUGAUUACAUCUAACUUUUGUGUUAGAUUGCUUAUGUAUCCUAAGAUAUGAUCAAGCCAUUCGUAGUACGAUAUUCAUUCAUAACGAGGAGAAUAAGUACAUCAUUGAGGAUAUGGUGCAUACAAUGGGCCUCAAUAAAAACUUUACCGGGAAUUACAACUUGGUUGAAAGGAAAAAGAGUGUUCUGCACCUAAACAAUUAUGAACUACUAUGCUCAAGCCGGAGAUCAUGAAUUACGUCAGGGGUUCUUCAAACCAAAUUGCAGAAUUCUCCGAAGUCAAGCUCAUUCUUGCGAGUUUGUGAGCAAUAUUGUUCGUCUCCCGUUUGCUAAAAUAAAUCUCCAUCCAUGGUAUGGAUUUCAUCACCCUGCGUGUGUCCAUAAUAAUAUGCCCAACUGGGGACCUCCUCAGCCCGCUGCAAUGCCACCAUAACAAGCAGUGCUUCCCCCUCCAUUUCCACCGCCAUGAGCUUCAGUUCCUGCAUGGAAAGGGCCGCGUCUCUGGCUACCACAAAUUCUGCCAGCAGCGGGGAAGCAAUCCUGCAGUGGUUCUUCAACGCAGCUGCAAUAAACUCGCCAUAUUCAUUUCGUACGACCAUCCCAACACCUCCCAGACCCCGUUGCUUACCCCAAGCCCCAUCGAUAUUGCACUUGUCACAGCCCAUAGCAGGUGCCUUCCAUUUUUGCGCGUUACCAGGGCUCGGUUUAUGCUUCCACCCGUGCCAUUUUUAAAACUCUUGUAUAGCCUGCAACUUGCAAUGCAUCUCCAAUGGAUUUAAAGCCGAUCCUCUCCAUAAUUAGCAAGAGAGAGCUCUGACUCCUGGUUGCUGCAUGGCGUAUAUGGCAGGAACGAAACUCACUACAUGUUAGUUAUUAAACUGUUUGUUUAGACUUAUGCUAAUUAACAACGCCUUAAUAAAUGAUUGUUCAUAAAAUUUUGCUAUUUUUCCAACUACUCAAAUUAAGGUUUAUGCUCGUUUGUUAUCGCGAGAUGCGAUGAAUUCUAUGACGGUACUGUGACUUCAAUAAUGUGGAGUGGCAGUUAGAGUUUAGAGUUAUGAGUUACUUUAGAGUUUUGGUUAUGAUAGUAUUUGUGGCUUUGAGUUUUGCUUAAAUGUGGCAAUGUGUGGGAAUGUCGGUAGUUUUUCCAUAUUAAAGGUAGUAUCUUUGAUGGAUCUAGACAUGUUGAUGUACACAGAAAAGGAAAUUUAUAACAUGUGGAGCCUUAUUGCUUAAGAACAUACACUCCUACAGUUAAGUUUAGAGUUGUUAACUAAACCAACUUCAUUAAAAGAACGGGGGAUUGUUGUUAUUUACACUGAUAAAAUCUAAAAGAGAGAUUGUUGUUAUUUACACUGAUAAAAAUUUAAUAUACACUUUUUCAUACACGAAUAUAUAGAAGAUAAUACUAUUGUUGGCUUUUGUCAAUACCAAUAUAACAUCUAAAAGAGUAUCGUUGCUAUUUACGCUGAUAAAAAUGUUAUCAUGCAUUUUCACACAUGAAUAAGUAGAUGAUAAAGGAGUUGGAAUUUCAUGAAUAUUUUCGAGUACCAAUAACAAUCUGAAUAUAAAGUUUAAACUCUAAUCUCAAAAUGAAGAUGUCUUUACUUACAUGCAACGAGAGAACUUGAAAUUGUUUGAAUCUUGGAUUCCCUACAACAUGGGCAUUAUAAUAAUUCUAACUGCCUUAUUUCCCUUGUAUUUACUUUCACAAGGUGAUUUCCUCCCCACCCAUCAUUGGGGGUGGGGAAUGCCCUACUCACCUAAGGUCCUAGGAGCAUGUUUAAUUUGACCUUAAUUUGAUAAUAAAUCUGUCACCCACUUGACUUAUCCUUCAUACAGCCAAUCAGUUUAAUGCUCCGCUUACAAACUAAUACAUGUACGAUAAAGAAAAAAAAAGUGUUCAUGCUCCAUAUUAAAGUUCACAAUUCCACACUUGGAGAAAAUUUUAAUUGUGACGGGAACACAAGUGGUACACCACGUGUUUUAAUAGAAGUGGUGAGAAAUUUUAUUUUUUAAGUGAUUAACUUUUUAGCACACAUAUUCUACCAUUUGUUUAAUGACAAGUGAUGUACCACUCCGUAUACCGAUCACACUAAAAAAUCUCUCCCACACUUGGAAAAUCCAAAAUUAGAUUAAAUAAGCACUAAAUGAUCCCAUACCCAAUCCUUAUUUCCCGUCUCGAUUCAUGAUUUUCCUUGUUACAAUUUAGUAAACACGACAUCAAUCCCUAAGCCAUGUGGAUCUUCACUACUGAUAGGUUUAUAUUCAUCGUUUGUUUUUAAUACAUUCGAUAUUAUUUAUACUAAGGGGGUGGGAGACUAAACAUCACAAUGGACUAGCCAUAAUAAUUUGGUUUGAAUUUAUCUUUGUUGAAAAUCGAACAUAAUGUUGUAGGCUUAUUUGAUUGAACGAUCUAGGGUGUAGAGAGAGAAAGGGGGCCGGCCACUAUUAGAGAGAAGAGAGAUUGAUUUAACUGUGAGGUGUGUUUGAUUCACCCCAUUGUGCCUUUAUUUAUAGUAGUAGGAAGGGGAAAACCUUUCCCUUUAGGAUUAUAACAUUUAAUAGGUAAUUUAAUCCUAAUAGGAAUAUAAGAUACAUUCCCAGAUUCCCUAGGAUUUAUACAAUCACAUUCCUAUUCUAAAUAUGACUGCAACACUCCCUCUUGAGUGUGUAAAUACUCAACAAACAAUCGCAUCAGAUCUUCAGCAGAUAAGGUAGAAUAGUUGAUGAAGUCAUCGGCACAACGGGUGAUCGCGAGUCUAGAACUAUUUGAGCAAGUCAAUGGAAGUCCUUCUGGAACUUUCAUAUAAAUUUUCGUAUCUAGAUCCCCAUAGAGAUAUGCAGUUACCACGUCCAUACGCUGCAUAUUCAGUUUUUCGAAAACUACCAAAUUAAAUAGGUGGCAGAACGUUAUAACGUCCAUUACGGGGGAAUACGUCUCCUUGUAAUCAAUCCUUGGGCGCUGAGAAAAGCCUUGUGCUACGAGGCGUGCUUUGUAUCGCAUUAUUUCAUUCUUCUUAUUACGUUUCCUCACGAAAACCCACUUGUAGCCAACGGGCUUCACGUGUGGUGGUGUAGGAACGAUAGGUCCAAAUACCUUACGUUUCGCGAGCAAAUCGAGUUCGACUUGGAUUGCUUGUUUCCAAUUUGACCAAUCGGUUCUACGUCAGCAUUCAUCGACGGAAUGUGGUUCAAUGUCAUCACUAAGCAUGAUGUCAAUAGCUACUGAGUACGAGAAUGCAUCAUCGACGAUCAUCUCAUUCCUAUUCCAAACCUCAUCCAAUAAUGUGUAGUGGAUCGAAAUCUCACGAUUCUCAGGAGGCUGGCAUGUUUCGUUUGAAGCAUCACCAUAAUCUAGAAUAACCUCAUGCGUUGGAACAGAUGAGUGAGCGAUAGUUGGAUUCAAACUAAGGUCACUAGUUGGUGCAAUUUUCCUUUUCCAGGGUUGUGAAUCCUUUGAACUGAGGGGUCUGCCAUGCUUCAGGGUUAGAGCAGAUGAUUGGCUAGCCGCCAAUGUACUUUGCCGCGUGGAGGGUGCAGCUUCCCCAUUUUCGAGGACGGUCCAACCUUCCCAAGCGGGUUGUUGACGUACGCGGGGUACAUCUAUCCUUGCAGGUGUGUUUGCAGCGGGUAUAUGUGAUCUUGUCACCUUUGCUAGAUCAUUAAAAGCAUCCGGCAUGCUUUGAGCAAUGCUCUGAAGAUCUAUAAUUCGAUGCACCUCAGUGUCAGACUGACAGUGCAAGGAUCUAAAUGAGACAUAGUGGGAGCAUACCACAACAAUCCGUGACGUUCUACGUGAACGUUAGCAUGCUUAUCUUGCCGUAAUGACAGGAAUGAUAGAAAGUGAAAAAACUGAAUCUUUCAUUUUGAUUAAUUAGAAUCAUACAUCGAGAGAGUAUUUUUACAUACAUCAAAUGAGUGCUGACUCAACACUUUACAUUAGCAUCAGCUGGUCAUAAAACUAACUCUAACAAUACUAACAAGCUACCAAUAGUAAUCUGAUGUAGGUGAUGUUCAUGAUUAGUUUGUGAACCUACAGUACUUCUAUCAGACCCCCUCAAGCUGAAGGGAGUAGCAUGCACUGAAAGCUUGCUUCGAAGAAGAUGAAACCUAUGCAUGGGUAAAGAUUUAGUAAAAAUAUUAGCAAUCUGCAGUAUGAUAGGAACAUAUUGAACCCCAAUAUGACCAAGAAAAACCUUCUCACGAAUAAAGUGGUAAUCGAUUUCGACAUGUUUUUUUCCUAGCAUGGAACACGGGAUUUGAGGCCAGUGCAAUGGCACUUUUAUUGUCGCAAAACACAAUCGGAGUUCGGAGAAGAGGAAAAUGAAGAUCUUUAAGUAUUUUGCAAAUCCAAGUAAUUUCAGAUGCUGUAUUAGCUAGAAAGCGAUACUUUGCUUCAGUAGAGGAUCUAGCCACUGUACUUUGCUUUUUAGCACUCCAUGAAAUUAAGUUUUGACCCAGAAAAACACAAUAGCCACUUGUAGAGUGACGAUCAACUGGGCAGUCAACCUAGUCUGCAUCACUACAAGCAGUGAGAACCUGAGUACCCUUAGUAAACCAUACUCCAGAAUCCACAGUUCCUUUUUGGUAUCUCAAAAUACUUUUAACAACAGUAAAAUGAAUAUCUCUAGGUGCAUGCAUAUAUUGGCAAACUAAGUUUACAGCAAAGGAAAGAUCUGGCCGUGUACAAGUUAGGUACUGCAGAGCACCAACAAUAGACCUGUAUUGUGAAAGAUAGAUAAAAGAGUCCUUGAAUGAUCUAAUUUGUAGAACCAAUCAGAAGGUUUAGCAGCCAACAUAUCAGUUUUCUUCAAAAGAUCCAAAGCAUACUUAGAUUGCACCAUAAACAAACCUUUGUCUAAUCUGUGGACUUCAAUACCCAAAAAAAAAGAACAUCACCUAAAUCUUUGACUGGAAACAAAUUACCAAGCUGUUGAAUAAUUUGUUGACAAAGAGAAGUAGAACUGCCGGUGAUGAUAAUAUCAUCCACGUAAAUUAAGGCCAUAUAAAGAUCUUCGUAGCUUACAGACAAAAUUAGGUCUUGAACUGUCAACGAAGCCAGGAGGUUGCUGCAUAUAUACACCUUCCUUGAGAUGCCCGUGUAAAAAUGCAUUACUCACAUCAAGUUGAUGAAUAAACCAAUCAUAAUGAACUGCCAAAGAAAAUAAAUCCUGAUAGUUGUUGGUUUGGCAACCGGAGAAAAAGUUUCAAAAAAAUCCACCCCUUCUUGUUGAUGAAAACCCUUUACAACAACUACGGUACCAUCAGGUUUAUGUUUAAGUCGAAGCACCCAUUUACAACCUACCAAAUUGUAAUGAGGACUGGGUGGAACCAACUCCUAGGUUUUAGUAUUAUAUAAAGCCUGAAGAUAAGUGGAUGGUGGUGAAGGGAGAGUAGUAAGGGAAUCAGUAGAAACCUGCAGAGGAUGUUUGGUAGCUGUAAACACUUUUGGUUUAAAAAUGCCAGCUUUUGACCUAGUAACCAUGGGAUGUAAGUUUGAAUGUUAGGCAGAGGCAUUUGUUUCGAUGGAAGAUGUUGGUAAAAGAGAUGUAGGGGAUGGGGGAUGAGGAGAUAUAUAUGGUGUAUAAAAAGAGGAAGGGGAAUUAGAAGAUGUGGGUGAGGAGAGUAAAGGAGUAGUAGCUAGAGGUAAAUGAUGAGAAACAGGAAUUGUAAGAGAAAAUGAGUGUGAAGGUGAAGGUGAAGGUGAAGGGAUGGGUGAAAAGGCAGAUGUAGUGGUUGGGAAUGUUUGGUAGGGAAAGAUAGAUUCAUCAAAGGUGACAUGCCUAGAAAUAUAAAGUCUAUUGGUAGAAGGAUCUAGACAUCGAUAACCACUAUGGUUUAAACUGUAUCCCAUGAAAACACAAAGUUUACUCUUCACAUCCAACUUAUCUUGGGCAUAAGGUUCUAACCAUGGAUAACAUGCACAUAAAAAAACCUUGAGAGUAUGAUAUUUAGGAGGAGCUUUAAACAAUUGUUGCCAAGGAGAAAUAUGAGAAAAAUGAUAUGGGAGCCGGUUAAUAAGCUAGAUUGCAGUCUGAAAGGCUUCAACCCAAAAUCGAUGUUUGAGAUAAAAGAGUUCUGCCCAUUUCUACUAUGUGACGAUGCUUUCUUUUAGCACAACUGUUUUGUUCAGGAGUAUGGGGACAACUCAACUGAUGAAUAAUUCUAUGGGCAUUUAGAAAAGAUUGAAAGCUUUUACUCAAAAACUCACCCCCUGAAUCUGAUCUGAAGCACUUUAUUUUGGAAUCAAACAAGUUCUGAACCUUAGCAGUAAAUAGUUGAAAAACUGAACAUACAUCAGACUUGUGAUAUAGAGGAUAAAACUAGCAAUACUUCGAGAAAUCAUCCACAAAGAUCACAUAAAAUUUGUAACCAGCACAAGACACUAUGGGGGAUGGGCCCCAUACAUCAGAGUGAAUCAGUUGAAGUGGCCUAGUGGAUGUACAAGGAAGAUUAGUAAAUGGUAAACGAGAAGCUUUGCCUAUAUGACAAGCAGAACAACCUGAAAGUGUACUAACAGGACCAACAAUUGGCAGUUUGUUCUUAUGCACAAUACUAGUGAUAAUAGCACUAUAGGGAUGACCUAAACGUUUAUGCCAGACAUUAACAUCAGCUUUAGCAAUCAUGAGGGCUGUAGGAGAAAUGGUGAUACCAGAAACACCAUUAGAGGCCGUCCAAUAGAAAGGAUAGAUGCCACCUUCACUAGGGCCCUGAAAAAGCAUCCUCCCAGUUCUUAGGUCCUUUAUAUAGAACCCCAAAGGAUAAAAUGUUAGUGAAAAUGCGUUAUCAGUAACAAACUUGUAAACAGAUAACAAGUUAUGUGAUGCCUUAGGAACCAGUAACACAUCAUUCAAUCAAAAAGUAGCAUUAGAUGUAUGUAGUAAUGCAGAACCAAUAUGAGAAAUAAACAGACCUUUACCAUCACCAACAAAGAGUUGUUCAGUGCCAGAAUAAGGUAUAGCUGAGUUCAAUGAAGCAGGAUUAGGUGUGACAUGAUGUGAAGCGCUAUUAUCUGUGAGUCAAUAGCUUGAUGUAGAGGAUGUCAUAGCAGACAUUGCCGUAGGAGGUGCAGCAAAAAAAUUCAUGCUAAUAGCCAUACCAGAAGCAAACUGAAAGAGAUAACGGCAGGUAGAAGUAAAAUGUCCAAAUUGUAAACACAAUUGGCACUAUUUUGGUCGACCCGAGACAAGAAGAUUGACCAAGAUGUUGAAAUCCAGAAUUCUGACCAAAAUUCGUAGGAGCAGUACCAAGUACACCACCAUAAGUAUUAUUAUUACGAUUGGGACCAAAUCUACGACCAUCUGACUGAUUAAGUCAAUUUUGAUUCGGAAAUCGAGUACGAGAAUUACCUUUGAAAGAAUUCGUACUAGAUGAAGCUUGUUGAGCAGUGUAAGCAUGAAAGGGCUCAGAAGCAAAAGACGAAAAAGCUCGUGAUUUGUGUUUUUGAAGCAAAAUCUCCUUACUCAAUAGCAUGCCAUGAAGCUUAUUAGCAAGCACGGGUUCAAGUCUGGUCUCAAUGGAGUAAAUAAAUGACACGUAAUCAUCAGGUAAACCAGAAAGUAUGUAGGCUAUCAGAUCUGAUUCAGAGGUUGGUUCACUGGUUGCGGCUAGUUUAUCGGAGAUCACCUUGAUUGAGUUAAGAUAGUCAGUCAUAGAAGAAUCACUUUUUUGAAUUAUUUGAAUCUUGGAGCGAAGGCUAUGAACAUGUGUGCGCGAAGCACCAGCGAAUCAACGCUUGAGAGAUUGCCAGAGAGAUCGAGAAUCCUCCAUACCAACCUUCAAAGGUAGCAGAUCUUUAGAUAGAGUAGAAUGAAUCCAAAUCAUCAGGAUUUGAUCUCACUCACACUAUAGUUCAUAAGCAGCGUUGAGAACUCGAGAUCCAGCUGAAUCAAGAACAAAUUGAGGAGGACAUGGAUCUUUGCCAUUUACAAGCCCUAAAAGCUUGAAUCUAUUCAAAAUAGGAAGAAAGAUGCUGCUCCAGGUGAUGAAAUUGUGACGGUUAAGCUUCGUCAAUACCAUGCCCCUAAUAUUCUAAAUAGUAAUCGAUCCGAGAGAAACAAUCGAAGGAUUGGAGACCUCAUUGUGAUGAGUAUUACCAGAAGAAUUUCUCGGAGAAGAAGAAUUAGGAGAAUUCAGAGUUGUCGUCAUGAGAGGAAUCAUAUGAACUGCAGUAGAAAUGGAAGAAUUAGAGAAGUAGAGAUCUGUUUGGGCGACGAGAAAAUGUGAGAAAAUAAAAUAAAGUAUAAGAAAGGGGAAGCGUAGGAUCGACGCGUUGUUAGACACCAGUAAGGGAUACCAUGAUAGAAAGUGAAAAAACUGAAUCUUUCAUUUUGAUUAAUCAAAAUCAUACAUUGAGACAGUAAUUAUACACACAUCAAAUGAGUACUGACUCAGCACUUUAACUUAGCAACAACUGGUCACAAAACUAACUCUAACAAUACUAACUAGCUACAAGUAGUAAUAUGAUGUAGGUGAUGUUCAUGAUUAGUUUGUGAACCUGUAGUACUUCUAUCAGGGAAGACUAUUUCAUCAAAGUGACAAUCCGCAAAACGUGCGGUAAGAUAUAUCUUGUCAAGGGUUUUAAGUAGCGAACAAUUGAUGCGAAUCAUAGCCAACAUAGAUUCCUAUUUUUCUCUGAGGACCCAUUUUGGUACUAGCGGCGGAGCUAUUCGCACAUAAAUGGCGCACCCAAACACCCGUAAGUGCGAGACGUCAGGCUCGUAUCCAGUGACCAACUAUAACUGUGAAUGUGGUUGGGUAGCGGUGGGCCUUAAGCGGACCAACAUAGCUGGGUGCAAUAUUGCAUAACCCCAGGCAGAUACCGGCAGUUUGGUUUUCAUAACCAAAGUCCGAUCUAUUAAUUGAAGACGCUUUAUAAAAGCUUCUGCCAGGCCGUUUUGGGUGUGAACAUGGGGUAUAAGAUGUUCCACAUUUAUCCUUACUGACAUUCAAUAAUCGUCAAAAGUCUGUGACGUAAACUCUCUAGCGUUAUCCAGUUGAAUCAACUUGAUCAAAUAAUCAGGGUGGUGAGCCCUUAACUUAAUGAUUUGAGAUAGGAGUUUAGCAAAUGCGGCAUUGCAUGUGGACAACAAGCAAACAUGUGACCAUCGUGUCGAUGCAUUAACCAACACCAUAAAGUAUUUGAAUGGUUCGCAGGUUGGUUGGAUAGGUCCACAAAUGUCCCCUUGAAUCAUCUGAAGAAAUUUAGGGGGGUUGUGAAUAAUCUUUGUAUAUGAGGGUUGAGUAUUCAACUUCCCUAAAGAACACGCUUUGCAUGGUAGGAUUCCAACAUAUGGAUGUAACUUAUGUCCGUGUGAAGAUUUGAGGAUACGGCGCAUCAUGUCACGUUUAGGAUGUCCCAUACAAUCAUGCCAAAGCAACAAAGUGUCCGGGAACUCCGGGAACUCAGGCAUAGGGUCGGCCACACUGUGGGCUUCUAUGCCGCGAAUGGUUAUGAUGUACAACCCACUCGGCAAGCGUUCCAAUUUCUUGUGAAUAUGCUUCUGGCCAUAUUCAUACGAAGUGAUAUAAAGAAAUUCAGAACCAUGAUCUUCAGUGGUUUCGAGAUGAUAUUUAUUAUCUCGAAUAUCUCUAAAACUUAACAACGUUUUUCCAGAACGUGGAGAAUAUAGUGCCUCCUUAAUGGUCAGAAUUGUACCAUUAAAUUAGACAACAUGAUACAUGCCUUUCCGUAUCCUUCAAUUAGGUUGGAUGAGCCUGAGAGAGUUGUUAAAGGACCUUUCUUGGGUAUGAAGUUAGUAAAAUAGUGUCAUUAACCAACACCAUAAAGUAUUUGAAUGGUUCGCAGGUUGGUUGGAUAGGUCCACAAAUGUCCCCUUGAAUCAUCUGAAGUAAUUUAGGGGGGUUGUGAAUAAUCUUUGUAUAUGAGGGUUGAGUAUUCAACUUCCCUAAAGAAAACGCUUUGCAUGGUAGGAGUCCAACAUAUGGAUGUAACUUAUGUCCGUGUGAAGAUUUGAGGAUACGGCGCAUCAUGUCACGUUUAGGAUGUCCCGUACAAUCAUGCCAAACCAACAAAGUGUCCGGGAACUCAGGCAUAGGGUCGGCCACACUGUGGGCUUCUAUGCCGCAAAUGGUUGUGAUGUACAACCCACUCGGCAAACGUUCCAAUUUCUCGUGAAUAUGCUUCUGGCCAUAUUUAUACGAAGUGAUACAAAGAAAUUCAGAACCAUGAUCUUCAGUGGUUUCAAGAUGAUAUUGAUUAUCUCGAAUAUCUCUAAAACUCAACAACGUUUUUCCAGAACGUGGAGAAUAUAGUGUCUCCUUAAUGGUCAAAAUUGUACCAUUAAAUUAGACAACAUGAUACAUGCCUUUCUGUAUCCUUCAAUCAGGUUGGAUGAGCCUGAGAGAGUUGUUAAAGACCUUUCUUGGGUAUGAAGUUAUUAAAAUAGUGUCAUUCACGCAAGAUGAUAUGCGUGGUUGCACUAUCUGCCAGACAACUAACUUCCCCACUAGACAUACCUAAAAAUAAAUUGAUUGAAUUGGUCACAUGUAUAAAUAUAAGUCCAUUCAUUUAAUUAAACAAUUCGAGAAAAUAAUAUCCAUUCAAAUAACAAUCCAUAAUUCAAAACAAACCAAAACCAAACAAAUUAUUCCAAAUACUUAGAAAAAUUGUUCAAAAUUAAACCAUAAACCUAGCAAAAUAGGGGGGGGGUAGGGCCAUCCAUUCCUAGUGGGUUCGGCCACUAGGGGUAAACACCCUAAAUACAUGUCUAUUUUAUUCAUCCAUAGGAGUUGAUGCCUUCUGGAAAUCCGAUAUCCUCAUUGAUGUAGUUGCAUCUUCCGGAUGAUCCAUAUGUGCAAAGUUAGAUUGACAACGGGAAUGAUACUUGACAAUAGCCUCAAGGAAAACUCGACAUACGCGUGACCAAUGAUCCUUUGAUCCACAGCGAUAACACAUGUCCAGUUCAGUAGAAGCAGCCUGAACGGGAGCUUUGCCCUUGUUCUUGAAGUUUGGAACCUUAGGGGUGAAUGGUGGACGCUGUUGAGUCACAUUUCUUCUCUUAGGUGCGGCACUCUGUUGACCUUGGGCCCAUGUUUGGGCUUGCCGCCCAUUGCCACCAGCCGACGACGAUUCGUUUCGUCAUGGCGUAAUAGGGGUCGCAUGCGCUUCAAGCGCGAAGUUCGAGCCAAUGGGUCGAGCUUGAUGAUUCUUCAUCAAAAGUUGGUUCUGCUUUUCAGCGAGAAGUAAAACAAAUAUCAAAUCUGAAAACUUGGUGAAUUUCUGUGCCUGUAUUGUUACUGCAGGACAAUAUUGGUGGCAUGGAAGGUCGAAUGAUUUUCCAAAGAGAUUGAUUCGGUUAGUUCCACUUUGCAUUUCAUUUCAACAGAGUUCAGAGAUUCUUGAUUCGGUUAGUUCCAGAAGCAGAAUUUUACAACGGAUUCUAACUUCAGAGUUGUAUUUAUUCACAGACUUAAAGUCCUAGAGCGAAAAAUGAUUCAGUCUUGUCUGCUUAGGCAAAGUAUAUGUUUUUCUGUUGGGAUCGAAACGUUGCUUGAGGCAAGAUAGUUUGCGUGGGAGACCUUCUAGAGCGGAGAUCGAGCAGUUCAAGUCGACAUGUCAUAAAUAUGUCUUCGGAGGAAAGAACGUGAUUAGUUCUUUGUCAACAGGUUUGUCGGCAUAUAGGUGCUCUAAUAGACAUGUAGAUAGGUUUAAAUUUGCAUGAAAAACCUUACGGUUUCCAUGUUAAGUUUGAAUGAAAAUUCGGGUUUCAAAGUUUGAAAACUACUCAGGUUCAAUUGGUUUUGAACAAUUAGUUCAUAAUGAAGAGGCCUGAAAAACAUAGAAUGCAAUAUUCUAACUUAAGUGGAUUUGACGGUUUUUCGGGAACUAUGAGAGCUUUGACUACGCAAGUAUGUGACGAUUCAAAGUAUAUAAAUAUUGAAUUGUUAAUCCCAAAAGUGAUCUUCAGGUUAAUAAUUUUGGAUUCAUUAUUAGAUUAAUGGACUGCAGGUCAUUAAUUAAUUCAAUAAAUCGGGCCACAUGGGGUCGAUUGUAGAAGCUAAAUAAUAUUAAAAUAAUAUUAUUGGAUUGAAAUUAUAGCCCCAAAAUAAUUUUGGGUUUGGUUUUGUGGGUAAGGGCAUGGGUAUGGGUGCCUUAAGCAUAAGGUGAGGCCCAAAAAAACCUUGGGGUGGUCUGCAAGCCACGGUGAAGGGAGGAAACCCCAACUGCAAGUUGGGUUUCGAAAUUAGACCAUGAAGGGGGCAUGGAAACAAACCCAGCACAUGCUGGCUUGUGGGCGAGCAUGCGAGAAAGGCCAGUGAAGGUUGGGACCUGGGCCGUGGGCAUGGGAAGCUAAGCCCAGCGCAUGGGCUGGCUGUUGAUGAUGCAUGCCGUGACAUAAGGGGCCCAACAAGCUAGGCUUGCGGGCUGUGGACCAGAAACUAGGGCUGCAGGCUAGUGGUUGUGGAGCAGCAAGCCCUACAGGGGCUGCGCAGGUAGUCCAAAGAGGGUGAUGCCAUCCCAUGGUGAGACAAAAAACAUACCCAAUUUUCGAACCUAGGGUUUCAGAAAAACCCAAAUUUGCUUCUAAUUUAAUUUUAUAUUUUGACUCACAAAUUCCACAUAACAAUUUAAUUGUGUGAUGCAUGAAACAAAUAUAUAUAUAUAUAUAUAUAUAUAUAUAUAUAUAUAUAUAUAUAUAUAUAUUGUGACAAAUAUAUGAACAUAUGCAAUAUAUAUAUCGAAAGGAAAAUAUAAACAUAGAGGGGUUCAUGCAUCAUGGGGAAUGUUUUCAUGCUUUGUGGACGUUUCAAAUAUCUUCUUUUAUUUUAAGUGUACUUGAUUAGCAGAAAACGAAUAAGCCUUUGAAUUUGGUGGAUGAUGGCCUCCUCCAAUGAUGUGUUAAUUCCUCAGCUUCUGGCAAGAGCGUGCUGAUAACGUAUUGUAGGCCUAUUUGAUUGAACGAUGUAGGAUAUAGAGAGAGAGAGGGGGCCGACCACUAUUAGAGAGGAGAGAUUGAUUUAAUUGUGAGGUGUGCUUGAUUCACCCAAUUGUCCUUUAUUUAUAAUAGUAGGAAGGAUAAAACCUUUCCCUUUAGGAUUACAAAAUUUAAUAGGUAAUCUAAUCCUAAUAGGAAUAUAUGAUACAUUCCUAGAUUCCCUAGGAUUUACACAAUCACAUUUCUAUUCUAAAUAUGACUGCAACACAUAAGACUUUUUACUUAUAAGUGAAAAGAAAUAUCACUAGACCAUGACUUAUAUUAAUAGCAUUAUCCUUCUAGUAAUCCUACAAUUUAAAGAGAAUACAUAAAUAAAAUCCUAAGGCGACAUGGGUUGAGACAUUAAAUACGGAAAAUAAGCAUCACGAUUCUUUCCCAAAUUAAGACAGUGUAAAAGCGGAAAGAAAAUUGUAAACUUGCCAAAACGAUUGGAAUAAUUAAUUAUUUUUGUUAUUAUACUACAAAAUCCCAACUUUAUAUAGAAUCUGGGCAUGUACCGAGCAGCAUUCACCUCCCUAUAAAUUACAACGCAUGAUUUGCUUCAACUCAGGCCACUGCUUCUCACUCUACAGCGUUCUCUCUCUCUCUCUCUCUCUCUCUCUCUCUCUCUCUCUCUCUCUCUCUCUCUCUCUCUGCCUUUCUGAUCUGUUCGUCGGUUUUUGAACUAGCAAUCGACCUACAAUGAAGAUUCGGGGCAAAAACAUUCUGCUUGUGUUGUUAUGGGCUUUCGCUUUUGCAGGUUUGCUUUGUAUUUCUAUCAUCUUGUUAUGAAAAAUUGACUUUGAGCUUGUGUAAAGCUUCAGAAUGAAGAUUAAACGCUUAUUGGCACGGUCUCUCAUUAUCGUUAAUUUUGGUGUUAAUGUUGAAUUCGUUUGGUGGGGCCCAUCGACUAAGCCUUCUGGGGAGAAUAACUUCCCUAUCCCCAAUUUUAUACAGCCAGUUACACCUAAAAGGCACAAUCGAGGCCAAGACACCUAUAAGUCGCCCUAAGCAAGGGAACAAUACUGCUAUAUUGACGCUGAUGAGCCAUAACUUGUGCCUCAAGGCAAAACAGUACUGCUAUUGUUUGAUUCUGCUAUCUAGGAGGAUUUUUUAUUUUGCAUUUAAGCGAUAUCAAAAUUAUUACCUUGACAACAUUACCUAUGUAUUUUAAUUUUAUUUCAUCACAACAUAAUACGAUGAACAAUUAAACAAUUGCUUUGUGCUUUACAGGGAUUGAAGUAAAUUGCUUAUCCUAUGAUUACACAGCCAGUAUUGAGGCAAGUUUCCCAACAAUUGUUUUGUAAAGUUUACAUAGAGAUAUCAAUUAAAUCUAACAAAUUUGUGACCUCUUUUGUUCCUCUUGUUUACAGUGUUUGGCAAAGCCUCACAAACCACAAUAUCGUGGAGGAAUCAUUGUAAACUCGGAACUUAAUGAUGGCCUGAAAGGAUGGUCUGCUUUCGGCAAUGCAAAAAUACAACACCGAUAUUCAGAAGGCAACAAAUUCAUUGUGGCAUAUGGUAGAAACCAGCCACAUGACAGUAUUUCUCAGAAGACCUACUUGCAUAGAAACAAGCUCUACACCUUCUCUGGUACUUACCCUAUUACUCUCUUUUUUACUGAUUAAUGAUAUAAUUAUUAGUUAAUUAAUAAAUCAGUCGAUAAUUGUACAAUAUAUCUGGUUUGUGUUGGUGCAGCUUGGAUACAAGUGAGUAGCGGUAGUGCUCCGGUGACAGCAAUUUUCAAGACAAAUAGCGUAUUUGUACAUGCUGGUGCGAUUGUAGCCGAAUCCGGUUGCUGGUCCAUGCUCAAGGGUGGCCUUACUGUCAAUGCCACGGGUCCUGCCGAGCUCUACUUUGAGGUAUUUGUUUUAGCUAUUUGUACGACAUUUACUGAUUUUUUUUACGUUACAAUGAAUUAGUACGUUAAUCUCUUAUAACUGACAAUUGUUAAAUUAAUAAUUCAGAGCAAGAACGCAUCUGUUGGAAUCUUUGUUGAUAGCAUCUCCUUACAACCAUUCACUGAGAAGCAGUGGUAUUCUCAUCAACAACAAAGCAUUGAGAAGGUGAGUUUAAUCAGGCCAUAUAAUUAAUCGUUAAACAAGGCUAAUUAAGCACAGAUUAACUAGCUAUACUCUUUUUACAGAUUCGUAAGACGAAUGUGAGAGUUCAAGCAGUCGAUGAGCAAGCAAAUCCACUAGAAAAUGCAACAAUAACCAUCCAACAAAAGGCUGCAGGCUUCCCUUUCGGUGUCGCAAUCAACAAGAACAUCUUAACCAACACGGCCUACCAAAACUGGUUCACUUCAAGGCCCUUCACGGUCACGACAUUCGAAGAUGAAAUGAAAUGGUACAGCACGGAGCCUUCUUUGGGCCGUGAGGACUACUCUGCCGCUGAUGCCUUGCUUCAGUUUGCAAAACAACACAAGAUUGCAGUCCGAGGCCACAACGUGUUCUGGGACGAUCCUCAUUACCAGCCCAGUUGGCUCAACUCGCUCUCUGGCCGACAAUUCUCUGAUGCUGCGUACAAGAGGCUCACUUCUGUCAUGGGAAGAUACAAGGGACAAGUCAUUGCUUGGGAUGUUUGUAACGAAAAUUUGCACUUUAACUUCUUUGAGAGUAAGAUGGGUGCAAAUGCUUCAGCUGAAUUUUACAAUUGGGCUAGUAAAGCCGAUGGAACAACCACAUUGUUUUUGAAUGACUACAAUACCAUUGAGGAGAGUGGAGAUCAAGAUUCGACGCCGGCUAAGUACCUUCAGAAGCUGCGAGACAUACAAGGGUUUCCUGGUAACGAAAAUGUGAAGAUGGCGAUUGGCCUCGAGUCACAUUUCAAGACUCCUAACAUUCCGUACAUAAGAUCUUCUAUUGAUACUCUUGCUGCUGCAAAGGUGCCAAUUUGGAUUACAGAGUUGGACGUCGAAAGUAGUCCCGAUCAGGUAAAAUACUUCGCCUUUCCAGUUUCCACCCAUUGUAUAAUUGAUUUUGCAUUCGAUACAUUAAAUUUUACAUGAUAUCAGGGCGAGCAAUUUAUUUAUGUCACAUGUGAAGGGAAGUAUUGAUUAUAUAAAUAAAAAUCACAAUUUUGUGGAUUUGCAAGCUUUUGUUUUUUGGUUGUAUAUGCAGGCAUCAUACUUGGAGCAGAUUCUUAGGGAAGUGCAUGCUCACCCUCAGAUUCAAGGCAUUGUGAUUUGGUCCGCAUGGAAACCUUGGGGCUGCUACAGGAUGUGUUUGACGGACAACAAUUUCAAGAACUUGCCCACCGGUGAUGUUGUUGACAAGCUCUCACAUGAGUUUGGUUUAACUUCUGACGAAAUUUUUGUCACGACAGAUGCUAAUGGCUUCUUCGAAGCCUCCCUUUUCCAGGGCGAUUACGAAGUCAAAAUUACUCAUCCUUUCGUAAACUCCCCCUUGGUUUCGGGUUUGAAUGUGGCACCAUCUGUCGAGUCCCCGCAACAAAUGCAGCUUCAAGUUAAUGUUUGAGUUUUGUUCACUAGGGAGUUCUGUUCAUUUUUGUUUAUUAGUAGGAUAAUGCAAAGAAGAUCAUUUAUUUAAAUCAUAAUCUGUAAACCAUAUAAUGUGGUCGGCGAUUAAUUUUUUUUUUUUUUAGUUUUUGCUUAAAAUUUACUCACGAAAGUGUUUGUUCUCUUUUGUAAUGAAUGACAAAACAUUUGUUCAUUACUGAGGCUACCUAUGUAGGGAUGGCAACAAAUCGGUUUGGGGACAGAAAUGCUAUAUCCAUCUCCAUAAUCACGAAAAUUAACCAUAUCCAUAACUACGAAAAUUAACUAUAUCCAUAACCGCAAAUUAACCAUCGGGUAUUAUCCAUAACCAUACCCACUGGAUAACGGAUUCCCCAUCGGUUAACAGUUAUAUCCAUUUUUGUUAAUAUAAAAAAUACAUUCGCUCAAUUGACGCAUGAUAAUUUAGUAAAUAUUAAUUCCGUCAUUAAAUAUUUGAUGUAUAAAAUGAUUUAAUUAAUCGAUCUUGUGGAGCAUAAAAAUUAAAGCUAAACAUUGAUAAUGUUGGUUGAUCUUUGAUAUCUCCCAUAAAUACCAUUAAAUUCUCAUAAAUUUUGAUUCAUAUCAAAACUUUUGAACUUUGCCACAAAAUGCAACUCACACAAUGCAAUUUUGUAUUCUCAAGGUAAUGAAUUCAGUGAAUAAUGAAUACAUACAUACAUAUAUAUAUAUGUGUGUGUGUGUACAUAUAUUAUAUAAUACUUUAAUAUUAUAUAUAAUUAUAAGAAAAACUAAUGAAAAUGGUUUGAAAACUUUGAGUUUUAACGAUAAGAAUAAAGGGUAAAAUGAAUAGUACCAGGAUUGACUUUUUAGUGUAAAAAUAUGGUUUUUCAUUAAAAUGAACAGUACCAAGAGCUUUUCGUUAAAGUUCUCAUAAUAAUAUUAUUUAUUAUUCAGUUCGGAUUCAUGUACGGAUAUAGAUUGGGGACCCCUAUAACCAUAUCUAAAACCAUAACCAAAUAAUAUUCACGGUUUUCCCCAUACAUAAUUCAUACCCAAAUCCAAUCUAUUCAGAUGGUUAUUCAUGGUUAUAACGUUUAACGGUUAAAAUUGUCAUCUUAACCUACGUAAGUACCUAGGGCACUUCUCAAACCAAAUGGAUUCGGAUAGGGCUCAAAUACAAGGAUUUCCAAAUUGUUAAGAGAUAUACUGUAUAAGUAUGACGUGAUUAGAUACUCCGACACAAGACUUUCACCAAAUUUGGGGGAUAAAAUGUGCAAAAUAAUGUAAAUAAAAUUGCUACAUUUUCUCUUAUCAAUGCCAAUUUCUUACUCUUUGUAAGCACUCUGAAAGGUGCAAAAGAGAGUACAAAAACAGAGGUAUUUUAAAAUACCUCAUUUUGUUUCAACAGUUUUCUUCUUCUUUUUUCUUCUUCUUGUGCCGGUCGAACUGACGACCUCGUGGACCUCAUGUGAAACACAAAGCCACUAGGCCACAGAGAGACCGGCA
rnacentral:lncRNA from 1 species